rnacentral:lncRNA from 1 species
CUGCUUUUCUCACUCCAGGUUGUCAUUUCUCCUAGGUGUGUCCAGCCUCCUGUGAAAUGCUGAAGGGCAAACCUGGAGAAGGGAUGAAAUCCCUCAGCUCUUAUCCCAGCAGGGAGGAACUGGGGAGCAGUUGGUGUGGUGCCAUCUCAGCCCAGCUCUGGGGGGUUGGGUUACCCAAAGGUUGGGAUGAAGCUGGAGAGCUGGAAAUAUCCAGAUGUGAAGAUCCAGGGUAGCUGCUGCUUUCACUUCCCCAUCUUCAGAAGGAGAAGCUGUGGGGUCCCAGCAGUGGGAGGAGGAGGAGGAGGAUGCAGCAGCAGGUACGAAACAGGUUUGAUUGGAGCUGCAGCUCCUGCUUUAAAUUGCUUUGGGGAUAAUUGAGUGACUCCUCUCCCUCUGUCCCUUUCCAUGCCCUGUUCCAGGGCUGGCAGUGGACAGGGGUGAUUGCUUUGAAGUGCUCUCCUGCUUUCUGGAUGAUUCACACUGGUAGGAGAGGCUUCCUGCCUUGCCAUGACUUAGGGAAAAGCUCCAUUUCAUAAUGUCUCCUUACUCUUAGCAGGGCUUGUGUCUGUUCCCGAAACUCCCACUGUUUUCACUGCAGGCAUGACCAGACUGUGAAAUAGCUUGGCUGGGCUGGUGAAUAAUCUCUGAGGCUCUU